GUGCUCACUUUAACAGCACAUAUACUAAAAUUGAAACGGUACAGAGACUAGCAUGGCCCCUGUACAAGGAUGACGUGCAAUUGGUAAGUGGGCAUUACUAUUCUG
ensembl:snRNA U6 U6 spliceosomal RNA